CCUGGGCAGAACAGAAGUCACAUGUUGCAUGCAGAUAAGGCAUCAGCUUCUGUCUCCCAACAAGCAGUCAUUAAAGGCAUACUCACCGCAGCAGAUCUUCUGGAACACUGCUCUCCCUGCUCUUGAAGGCAAUAACCGUUUCUGUGCGGCUUGCAUUUCUGCAAAUAGACCAGAGAAUAAUGUCAGCUACUGAAAUAACAGCCAGGCAGGUGCUCUGGCUCUCAGGCAGCCUACCUGAGAGCAUCAUCGGAACAAGCUAUCCAGAAAAGAUAGCCAAAGAAGAGCAUCUGCUUCUAGACACUGUCCUAAGGAGGUGAGCAAACUUGUGGAAGCAUUCCUGCACUCUACUAGCAUUUUAUCAGCACUAAAAUCCCACAGAACAUCUCAUGUUAGACAAAGCAGUGUAACACAAGAACAAAAUAUAGGUCUAGCCAGCGUACUAUAAAAGUGGAUUACUUUUUCCUGGUCUUUCUACAAUUGUGUGUAUGCGUGCACACUCUAUAUACUUUACAUGCAGUUCUCUUAAAACUUACUUGUACAUAGCAUUGUAUCGAGAUAAGCCUUGUGCCUUCCCACCCAUCUUGGACAGCCAGUCAGAAUAGGCAGCACGAGGUCCUUUUAGGCUGUGGACAUAGGAGGGGAAAAAAAUGGAAAAAGGAUAAGGUUGAUUUAUCUGUAUUAUCUUAUCAACUCUGUACCUGAAUAUCUGCAGAUCAAGCAUGUACUGCUACAAACCCAUGGGAUUUUUAAGCACAAAGCAUGGGAGCUAUAGCCUACAUUAAUUCUAGCCUUGCUAUGAAAAUGAUGCGUAUGCGGUCAGUGCAUGUGUUGAUCCAUCCAUCUCCUUCCCCCCAGCUUCUGAAUGCAUUUCAGUCAUAUUUGAUGGAAGAUUAGGCAUUCAUGUCUCAAAUACAUUAACUUCCAACAGGUGCUCUAAAAAUCAGAAGCUGCCUUGAGAAGACAGACCUAAAAUAACCUCUCCAGGGAAGGAAAGAUGUUUUUACCAUGAUCUCUUAUCCACCUGAGAGGCAUUAUGCAGCCUGCCCCAUGACACUGUUUUUUGUCCAUCCAAACAGAUAAGAGUGCAGAAGGCAGUCCAUUAUCUUUUCUGCACAUAUAGAAGGGGAGGAAAGGGAACUUGGAGGACUUAAGUAUUAAUCCAGACUUCAUUAGUUACACUACCUACAAAAUAGCUUGUUUUUCUUCCCAUCUUAUCUGCAUACAUUACUGUGCUAGCCUUUAAACUGCUGGUCUGUUCCACAGAAACAGCAGCUGAGUAGUAGAACAGCCACCUGUUCUCCUUCCAAAACACAGAGUCAUUAAGGUUGGAAAAGACCACUAAGCUCAUCCAGUUCAACCAUCAGCCCAUCACCAUCACGCCCACUAAACCCGCUAACCAUGUUCUGAGGUAUAGAGAUCAUUUCCAUUUAAGAAAUAUUUAUCAUUUAUAGACCACACAGCCCAUCACUGUGGAUAAAAGACUUCAGAACUUCAGGAAGUUGUUCACUCUCACUGCAACUGAAACACUGCCUGUAAGAAUUUCAGAGUCCUCCUUUGGGAGUGCUGCUGUUCACCUGCAGCUCAGUUAAGAGUCCUAACUGAUUCAGCUGAAGAGUGUAUGGGGAAGUAUUUCAAAUCUAUAUACAAUAAUAAAAUAAGGCUGUUUGUGUGAUAAAUCAUGAACUGUUUCUAGAAAGAUACAGAGAAUCUACAUUUAAAGUAUUAGAAACCUCCCCUCACGAGAAGCUUCCAAGCAAGUCCUCCUCCUCUUCCAGUAAUUGAAGUGGGAUCAACAUUAGCACUGUUGCUCACAGAAGCAAAGCAGAUACCAGUGAUGAGGGAACUGUAGUAAUUCCUGAACGCUCAGUCAAAAAUCAACUAUAGAAACAAAGGCUCUUUGCAGUCCAACCUGCACUCUGGAACUUCCUCCAACCUGCCCUGUAAGCAGGAGAACUAGUAAAAAUAAUUGAUGACAACUCUUGGACAUGCCCAAACAGAGACCAUGCACUAAGGAAAGAAGGCAGUAAAUGAAACCACGUUUCUAAGUUCCAGGACAGAAACUGGAUACAUAGAAACUUUCAGGGUGACGUGCUAAAAUCAACCCAUUUUACAAAUAUCCAUCCCUUAAUUACAAGCAAGAGACAUAAAGCUCAUUUAUUCAUAUCCAGCCUUUGUACACAGUCAGAGACAAUGUUUUUUUCACAGCUGUGUUUUGCAUAUCUGCUGAUUUCCUCCAUCCUGGACUCACUGCUCAACACAGCUUCUGAACAGAACAGCUCUGUCUCUGCUCCCCCACCUCCUCUCCCCCCCUUGCUGACCAACGUCCAUUUCCUGCCUGAUCAAAUCAGGAGAUCAAAAUCCUUUGCUUGUAAAAAAUCAAUCUGCUGAUAAGGAAAUGGUGAUGAUAACAACGUCACACACGAUUAUAAGCCUCUUGUUUAAACAAGCUGGGUGGAGGAUAUUCCAGGUACAGUGGUACUCAUUAAACAAACAGUUGCUAAUUACUAUUUUGAGUCAGGAAGUACAGAGCGCCUCCUUGCUUAUAGGUAGUUUCCUUUCUUUAAAGAAAGGAAAGAUGAUGCCACAGGAUGGUCAGCAUCAUGAUGAAGCCACUAGCAGCAAUCCCUUUAGAAGAGACAGCAAAGCCUAACAUCACCUGUUAUAGUUGGCAUCUUCCUCUUCAGUCAUGCUGUUCCUCAGGAAUUCUUUCAAGGUACAGGUAUUUUCCAGCCAUUUGAUGAGUCCCAGCCUGGAACAAAAGUAAUCAGAGAUGUGAACAAGUAGCUUAGAGUCAGAACAACACAGAAUUGGAAGCAAUGCAUUCUAGUGUCCGCUAAAAGAAAGCUGCCAAUUUAAAUAUACUCUGAAAUACAGUUUCCAGACAAAGCAGUUUCAAAAGGAAAAAAAAUACAAAAGCAAGCCAAGACCCAAAACACUCUGAACCAGAAUCUGGCACGCAUAGACCGUACUUCCCAACAUUGCAACAACAGAUGUUAAUGUAAGAAUUUCUGCCCCUCCAAGAUAAAAUCCUACCUUGUGGUCAUGGGGAUGACCUGGUAUGUUUUCAACUGCAUAUUCCUUUGGCUGCAGGCAGCAUCUCGGGAAAGGACGAUGUUCAUUACAUCAAACAGCUGCUCAAUGCGUUGGUCUUGUCGCAGGUCUUCUCCACCUUUGACAAGAAAAGGAUGCUCCUGCUCAUCGCUGCCUCGGAUUGUUAUGCGCUUGGGUUUCCUCAAGGAUUCCAAUACCAUUAUCUUGGAAGACGGGGAAAAAACAAGUAUUUGUGACACAAGAUUUGGUCUGACAGAGUAACUACUGAAAUUAAGCCUGUCCGGCGUUCCCAGAUGGCACAAUCAAGUUGCUCAAUUACUACUCAAAGACCAAAAAAAGUUCUGCAAAACAGCAUUUAUGUGCUCCAAGAUGUGUACACAGCAACAACCUUUCUACUGUCAAAUUCUCCAGACUGAAUAUGGCCACAGGUGCAUAACACCAGAACUUGAACUCAAGUUCACAAACAUACCCGUUCAUCAAAUCCAGAGAUCUUCACAUGGUACUCUGGUAGAGGUUUCCCCUUCCCAUCGUACUGACCUGUGGUGGGGAUGAGGAAAGGCAAAACUGACACAGUCUGAUUUUAAAUAUUAUCAGUAGUAUUCUUUAAAGUGUGUUUAAUAAUAGAAAGAACUCUUAUAAAUAUCCUUCUUAAAAUGGCAAAAUUAUAUCUUUCAAGAAAACACACGAAAAUCCAUAAAAACCCAUUUUCAUUAUACAUUUUAAUCUCUGAAUUACUAAUAGUCUUCCCUUCUUAAGCAGGGAGAUUUUCAGAUCUUAAUAGUUUGAGAGGACACAUCCUUGCUGAAUUUGAAUUAAGCAUAUAUUAGAUGCAACACUCAGAUUUUCCUGGACUCGUGCCUUGAAAAGAACACUUUAGGUUAGAGAUGUGAUUUCUGAUAGCUUUAAAAAAAAAGCAGGCAUACAACCAAAGAACAGAUUUAAGAGAUUAAAUAGCAGUUAUUUCAGACUACCUCUCUGCAAGGUGAGAACAAAGGGCCAUACAGCCAACGUAAGCAGCAGCAGCUUUCUUGCAUGAGACAUUUCCAACAUCACCACUGAAGGGGAACUUACCAGGGACCUCCAGCUCAUUCCUCAAGAUCUCAGCUCUGAAUUCACUCAUCCAUGGCGAACACUCUUUCAGGUUUCCAGGUUCUUUAUGGGUUUUGUUCAUUUUGGUGAGAAGAGCUGUUGUGAUCUCAUUGAAAUCACUGAUCUUCAUAUCCAACAGCUUUGAACCGCCUUUUCCAAAAUGACUGUCAAAAUCCUUCCCAAAAGCCUGAGGUUCAUUCACAGAUAUGAAUCCUGUUAGGACAAUGCUUGGAACUCCCCAGGAGCACAACAACAGUACCUUCGCAUCCAGACACACAGUUUCACCUGCCCUCCUGAAACAUCUCCAUCUUUCUCCUACUCUAAGUCUUUUCCUCCAUCGAUUUCUAGCCUGUCAGAACCCUUUCAUUGCCUGUUUCAUAGACCCCACCAGCUGCUAGCAACAGAAAUACUAACAUUUCCCGACCCCAGUGAUACCAGAGCUCUGCAGAAUUAGACCACAAUCCUUUUCGCUAUAUCAAAACCAGAAGCCUAUCCCUUCUUACCUCUUCCAGUUGCAGCUGGAUUCUGGGUCAACACAUCAAUAAUGCUGCUUGUUACACUUACAGAAUCACAGAAUAUCUAGAGUUGGAAGAGGCCCACGAGAUCAUCAAGUCCAAUUCCUACCUAGUCCAAGAGACUACUGAACUGACCCAGAACAUUUUCACUCUCAGCAGGAUCUGGGACAGUAACUCCCAUUCCCUCUUGGUUUCAAAACACACCUUAAAGCUACAAGACCUGUGGUCUUAUCUCCUGGCCCCCAAAAUACGAUUACUCACAGAUUCCCUUAGUAAGCCAUUCAUAGAUGUGAUUUUUUAACUGCGGUGAGUUUAAUCAAGGACUUCUGAUGCUAAUAGUGGAGUUCUUCCAGAUGAGAAAAGCGUAAGGGUCAAAAGCAGGCCAAUGGCCAGUUAUCCUGUGUAUUUAUGUGUGCCUUUAAUAAGAGUACCUACAUGCAGGAUGACAGUCAUUUUGUCGAAGAAACACUUAUGUAUAACCAAUACUGCUCACACAUACCACUGACUAACGGGCAAAGCCAUGUCCAACAGACAUCGCUUCUGUCACCAGGAGAUGUUUGCCACAGGACAUAAUGCAUAACACAGUUACGAAUAUACCUUGUUUGCUUACAAAAAAACUUAAAACAGCUAGUAAAAUAUUAAUAUAAAACAUGAAUGCAAAUGAAUUGAUUGGUGACAUCAGAAUUAGAGGCUGUCUGGGCUGUAGUGACCAUGCUAUGGUUGAGUCCAUGCACCAGAGGGAUAUGAGACAGGUGAAGAGUAAAAUUAGGAUGCUAAAUUUCAGGAAAGCUGACUUCCAGCUGUUCAGGGAGUUAGUCAACAAAAUACCCUGGGAAACUGUCCUCACAGGUAAGGGUGCAGAGCAGAGCUGGCAGAUCUUUAAGGAAGCUUUUUUCAGGGUGCAUGAGCUCUCCAUCCAAGGCGUAGCAAGUCAGGAAAGGAAGGCAAGAGACCGGCAGGCUGAACCGGGACCUGCUGGUUAAACUGAAGAGCAAGAAGGAAAUGCACAAGCGGUGGAAACAGGGGCAGAUAUUGUGGGAAGAGUAUAAGGAAGCUGCUGGGCUGUGUAGGGAUAGGGUCAAGAAAGCCAAGGCCCAGCUUGAACUAAACUUGGCAAGGAAUGCCAAGAAGAACAAGAAAGGCUUCUACAGGUAUCUCAGCCAGAAAAGUCCAGAAGAGUGUACCCUCCUCCCCCCCACCGAGUGACAAAGGCAGGCUGGUAAUAACAGACAAGGAGAAAACUGAGGUACUUAACUUUUUUUGCCUCAUUCUCUGAUAACUACUUGUCACACAGCCUUCAAAUGUUUGGUUUGGUAGGAGGGGAUUGGGGAAGCAACAUCCCUCCUACUGUAAGUGAAGAUCAGGUUUGUAACCACCUGAGGAACCUGAACACCCACAAGUCUAUGGGUCCCAAUGAGAUGCAUCCCAGAGUCCUAAUGGAACUGGCUGAUGUGGUCACCAAGCCACUCUCAGUGAUAUGAGAAAAGCCGUAGCAAUCAGGUGAAGUACCCGGUGACUGAACAAAAGGCAAAAUCACAUCAAUUUUUAAAGAAGUCCAGGGAGGAUCAUGGAACAGAUUCUCCUGGAAGAUUUGCUAAGGCAGGGAAGUGAUAUGGGAGAACCAGCGUGGCUCCAUCAAGGGCAAAUCCUGCUUGACCAACCUAGUAGCUGUCAGUGAUGGUGUCACUGCAUCAAUGGACAAGGGAAGAGCCACUAAUGUCAUCUAUCUCAACUUCAGUAAGGCCUUUAACAUGUCCCCUACAACAUCCUUGUCUCCAAAUUGGAAAUAUAUGGUUUUGAUGGGUGUUCUGUUCAAUGGACAAAAAACUGGCUGCAGGACUGAGUCGAGAGAGUGGUGGUCGAUGGCUCAGUGUCUGGAUGGAGACUGAUGAUGAGGGGUGUCCCACAGGGGUCAGUCCUGGGAUCGAUACUCAUUAAUAUUUUCACCAGUGACAUUGACACUGGUGUUGAGUGUACCCUCAACAAGCUUGCUGAUGACAACAAGCUGCGAGGUGAGGUGCGGUCGAUACACCAGAGGUGCAGGAUGUCAUCCAGAGGGACCUAGACAGGUUUGAGCAGUGGGCCAAGGAGAACCUCAUGAGAUUCAACAAAUCCAAAUGCAAAGCCUUGCAUCAGGGUUGAGGCAUCCCUCACUGCCAAUACAAGCUGAGGGAUGUAAGGAUUGAGUGCAGCCCUGCUGAUGAAGACCUGGGAGUACUAGCAGAUAGCAAGUUGGACAUGAGCCAGCAAUGUGCCCUCACAGCCCAGAAAAUCAACUGUAUCCCAGGCCCCAUCCAGAGAAAUGUGGCCAACUGGGUGAGGGAGGUGAUCCUGCCCCUCUGCUCUGUGCUGGUGAGACCUCACCUGGGGUACUGCAUCCAGGUGUGGAAUACUCAGUAAAGGAGAGACAAAGUCCUGUUGGAGCACAGCCAGAGGAGGGCCAAAUGAUUCAAGGUACAGAACACCUCUCCUGUGAGAACAGGCUGAGAGAGCCAGAGCUGUUCAGCCUGGAGAAGAGAAGGUUCUGAGGUGACCUGAGAGCGGCCUUUCAGUAUCUAAAAGGGAGCUCAGGAAAGAUGGGGACAGACUCUUUAGCAGGGUCUGUGGUGAUCAAACAAGGGGAUAUGGCUUCAAGCUUAAAGAGGGAAGAUUUAAGUUCGAUAUAUGGAAAAAGUCUUUUACACUGAGCAUGGUGAAGCACUGGAACAGGCUGUCUAGUGAUGUGAUCGAUGCCCCAUCCAUGGAGACUUGCAAGGCAAGUCUGGAUUAGGUCCUGGGUAGUAGGGGAAACACAAGGCCAGGCCUCUGCUCAGGAUCACAGAGCAGCCCUGGCUGAGGACCCGGAGCAGGCAGCAGGACCACAGAGCCUGCGGGGCAGUCACAAGGGUAAGUUGAGCCAUAACAGCUCCACAGCUCCCAACAAUGAAAUCUUGAAGUCCUAAACUCCAUCUCUCACUUCAUCUAGUCCUGCAGCACAUGUGCAAGCUGUGAUCUGGUUCCUCUCCUUUGACUUUCUAGUGCCUUCUACAGAAGCACACAGCACCAAUGCUAUUCAGUCACCACACGUACCUGAACAAACCGUUUCCUCAGCCACCCAAGGCCGGGAGCCUUCACAUCUCCCAAAUUCUUAUACAUUCCUUCAUACAUUUCCUUAAGUAUAAUUUUGUUUCUCUGAGUUUUUACCAGUUCAUUUCUGACAUCCGCAACCCAGUCCUGAAAGCAGAAAGAAUCAGAUGAGUACUGACAAAAACUCUAAUUUGUUCAGAUUGCAUUUGGGUUACUGCAUGUGCUAACGGUCAAUUAACGUGCCUUUUGAGAGCCACAUAAGCAAAUAAGAGUCUGUGCAAACAUUCUCCUCUCCUUCUGUUUUUUGGAUAAAAUCGUCUCUGCUUUUCUAACAUAACAGUGUUUACUACCAUAGCGUCUGGUACAAACUAAGAAAGCCCUCAUGGGGCCAGGAGUGGGAUCAAACACCAAACAGAAGAGUUCUUGCCACAGCAGGUUCACAAUGCAGGCAGGGGCACUCAGCAGAAAGCAGGCAAAGGGCACAAGGACCCCAGCAGACAGAAAUUGUGGACAUGGACAUAAACUCUCACUCUGUAGCAGUUUGGGAACAAUGAAGCAGGACUGACUGUGGGGCAGCACAAAGACUCCAGAGGGAGAAAGCUGAGGAGGAUGACUGCAAAGCAGUCAGCAGGCAGAAGGAGUGGGGAGCAGCGUGAAGCAAAGCUCAUAGAGCACCCUAGCAUCAGUGCCAGCCCAUUAUGAGGAGAACCACUUCCUGCAGCUGUAGCAUCUCCACCCUGCACUUUCUUUCCUAAGCACAGCAUUGGGAAGGAAGGGGGAAAAACAGUAAUACACUUUACCUUAAAAAGCAUUACGGGAUUAGAGAGCUGUUCCAGGGCGUGAAUAAAAUCUUGAACCACUCCUCCUCUGUCCAACUUGUUCUUGAUGCUUUAAAAGAAAGAACUCCAUCACAAUUCAGGAGAAACUACCAUCACCUGGCCUGCCCAUAAGCCAUGAUACACAGCAGCUGCUACAUCCAAGAACUGAGUAACACUAUCUGGGGGGAGGAGUGGGCACAAAUUAGGAGGACAACUCAGAAUAAUCCCGAGCUGUACAAGUGUUAAGUAUUGGCUGUCCUCACUGUGCAGCUCCUAAUUUCUUGGUAAUUAAGUGCCCUGCUAUGAGAAAACUGCCGCUUGGUGGGAUGGUGGUUAGCACGCUUACAACAGAAAGUGGCAUUAACAAGACCUGUCAUGACAGUUAUUCAAGGGCAAUAACAUUUGUGAAGCACAAGCCUUUCCCUUCUAAUUUUAAGCUAAGAUUUUGAGCAAAUGCAUCAGAAAUUUGAGAAAAGGCGAAGGGAUACCUAGAAUUAUUGUAGCAGUUCCACAGCACUGUGUGAUACAAGCUGACUUUCACCUGGGAAUUAAUUUAGGUUUUAUUGCAUGGCAAGGUGGGUAAGGUAGGGCUUGAAGGCUCAUGCUGCACACUGAGCAAGCAGAGAAGAAACCAAUGGAAAGCUGCUGUUUCCCAGAAGAUAAUGUUCACCAAUUUCACUGUCUCUGAAAUCUGAUGGGAGCCUCUGUUAUGUUCCCUGCCCUCUCUCCUGCUGUUAAGAAAGACUCAAAGUAUCCAAGCUGACUUCAUCUCCAUCCCUGAUGGGUUCUGACUGUCACUGCUGCAAAGUCUACUGCAGCAGGACUGUAAUCAUGCACCACAUUUCCCUUCAGCCUCAGCAGAGCAGGAAAAGGAAGAAGAAGAAAUUUUGACUGACACAGAGCUACCAGGAGAAAGGAGUUCCUUCUCCACAAUCUUCUAACUUCCCAGUCUGGGGACUCCAUGUCCUCAGUACUGCUGAAAGUAUUCAGGCUGCCUACCUGAGCGUGUCUAAUGCUGAGUGAGUUCAUGCACUGAUUUUCCCCGUGCCUUUGAAUCAAAGCACAGUGUGCGUGGGACUGCCCCCUAAUGAUUCUCCCAUGCUUCCUGAAGAAAACGGUUUCUUUAAAACAAAUAAGCCCAUCCACACGUGAAUCCAAAAUACACCAAAGAGCUGCUGAUCACAGAUUCACCUUGCUACAAACUCCUUGUUCCUACAGCCUGCUGCGGUAUCUUUGAAGCAGUAACUCUCACUGCUGAUCGUGAACGGGUAGAUGAUUGCCUGGGGGUAGGUAUCCACGAUCUCUUCCACAGUGUGCUGCACAGCCACUGCCUCAUCCUUGUCAAGGAGUGCCAUCAUCUGGCUAAUCCAACCGAUGAACUGCCAGCAGGGAACUGAAGGAAGCUGCAAAACAGACACUGCUUUCAAUGCUGGUCUUCUUUAUGGAUACCAAACAACAAACACGACCAAAACUGCUCCGUGUCCCAGCUUGACAGACAAAUACACAAAAAUAAAACAGAGAACACCAACUACCUUCACAAAACAUCUCCCACUGAAGCAGAGCUUCAUUACUAUAACUACUGCUACUACCACAUAGGUGUCCCAUUGCAAAAGCUCAUAUCGCUUUCAAAAUGGAUGCUACAUUCUCUUUGCUUGUGAUGAGAACAGGAUGGACUCUGACUCCUCUUCCCGCCUCAUCGCCUCCUACCUUUCUAACGGAGUUUAAGUUUAAUGGACUGCCAGGAUUGAUUGCACUGAAAGAGAAGUGAGAACAAAAACACCCAGAGAACUUCUCUUCUGGGUGAGGUUUAUUGGCUGGGCCAGGAGUCAGGUUUUGGUUUACCACCGGAGUUCCACUGUGGCCACACCGUGUCCACUUCAGCCACGUUUACUACGGUUUUGGUUUCUGUAGGUAACUGUGCCAUAUUUCUGUCUCUCUCACACCUUAAGUUCUCCCUCUGACAGGGCAGAGGAAGCACUCUGAGCACCAGCACGAUGAAACGGACUUAAAAACACAGGCAAGCCAGGACAGGAGAGCAGGAGCGGUCAUGAGCCAAAGAGAGCUCAGCUUAUCUGUGCCAUGACAGAAGGGAAGGCACAUGACAGCAUUCAGUUGCAAUACAGGAACAGGAAAUAGAAGGAAAUGGGAAAUACAAAUGAGAUGAAGCUGCAGUAAAGCUCUGAAAUGAAACAGGACAGAGAGAGAUGGGAAAAGUGAAAACAAGUGAUGAAGCUGUGGUUUCCUACACAUAGGGGAAAGCUUACAGGCAACUCUCUUAAUCCAACCCAGCUUUAUCAGCCCACUUAGAUGGUUCAGGGAAAAAAAAAGUCACUUUUUUCCAGCAGCUCUGCAAUUAAUAUUUGGAAUCAGUACCAUGACAAAAAUUCAACUUCUAAGAAAAGCUUCUGACCAUAGUAAUUAUACUCAACAAGACAAAGAACAAGGAACAACGAGAUAAAAUUGAUCUGGUUCACCUGCAGCAGAAUUCACCAGCAUUACCUCUUUGUCCAUCCAACCCCCACCUCCCACAUUUUAAAUUCCAUUUACAGCAAGGCUGGCUGCCAAGAGAAUGGAAGCACCUCACCUCUCGUGUCACCAGACCCAGCGUCUCCGCUGGAUAUCUUUCAAUUAUUUGUAGCAGUCGAGGAAACCUCAGCCUGGCUUCUCUGGAGUUCAGUUUUAAAGCUUUUAUCAUUUUCUCCACCACAAUAGCUGGGAAUAGCUGCAGAUCUGCAGCAUUAAUUUCUGCCAAGAGACGUUAAACAAAAGUUAUCAGAAACACCAUCACUUGUUGCAUGCCUUUGAUCAUCUGGAACAUUCAUCUCCACUGUUCAGCAUUUUUUCUUCCAGCGCAUUUUGUAUUUUUACUUUGUUCUCCUUCCCAUCUGUUUGAACUGUGCACACCACCAACUUGGGGAUGGUAAGGAUUAACUUUAUGGGGCAGCUGUAUCAUCUCUGGUAAACAGCCUACCUUAAAUACAGAACUGGUGGUGUGGUCUGGGAAGGAACAAGGGAAGCAUCUGCUGGACAUGAUAUAUAUCUCACCAGAGGAGGAUUACAAGUGAUUCACUAGCACCAAAGCUAGCAGUUGUAGCGGGGGAAAAAAAAGAACCAACAAUAGGACUAUCGAUACUGUUGGAGUGGAGGACAAAAUGUUCCAUUUAAACCCAAGCUGAAUUGCUCAGGGAGAUCUCCUCCUGGGAAUCACAAAAGCUCACACACCAGAGAUAAAUCCAUUUCACAUGCUCAGGGGAAACCCCCAACUAACCAAGUGAGCCUUCUUCUUCCUUUCGCAGGUGUUGGUCACAGAAACCAACCAAAGUCAUAUACGCAUCGAUAACUCCCUUCACAUCAACGUGUUCCAUGGAGAGGGACUGCACUUCCUCUUCAGACUUCCUCGCAGCGCUGCUGAAACACUGAAAAGCUCUCUUGUUCAGACCUGCUAAUAUCUGAAAUUUAACCAUAAGGGAAAAUAUAUCAUCCUAUUGAUCAUACUUUUCUAAUAAGGCUCACGUAAAGAAGGAUUUUACAAGAUUCUUUACAAAUGAAUGCUUUAAAUGCACACAUCCUCACACUGCCAGCAGGCUUAAUAACGUCAGGCACUGCAGCUACUAACCGAUAUAUAAAAUGGGUGGAGAAGAAGUGGGAACAACUGAAAAAUGGCAUAUCUGAAAUUAAGCAGUUUGUUCUUCAGGUAGGGAGAGGGACACUACCAGGGUCAGAGUGCUGCUUCAUGUGAAUAUGAAUUAAGGCUAUGCUCCUUAGUCUCAUCCAUAGUAGAAAUACCAGAUAUCCCAGCCUGAUCCACCUGACACAAGAGAAAGCUUUUACACUCAUCAUUUACAUUUCCUCACAAAGAAUGCUUUUAAUAAUUACCUAGCAAAUGAAGCUUAAGCUUUGCUCAAGCUUCUACAAACAUGGGAAAUGAGAAUCUAACUCAAAGGAACCUUGUCUUUACCCGCUUUUCUUUAACAUCCAUUAAAGACACAAAUGAAGAGUUGUUUUUUGUUGUUUUAUACUGAUAUGGUUCAUAUCUAAGACUCUGUAAGGUGGCUUUAGGAAUUGAGAGAACUAAGUCAGCCACGGUACUUUAAAUUCCUACUUAUCACAAUUUGACAGAGCAAAGGUAUGUGCCAGAGCACAAUAUGACAAUGCAGUGCAGUCCACCACUGUGAUCUUCAAAUGUGCACUUCUCCAAAAGAGGCAAAAGAUGAUUGGCAUACGUUCUGUUUCAACAUGAAAACCCUCUUCCCUUUAUCACUAGAACUAUUCAGAUGGAGUAAGCAUAACAGUACUGUUAUCAGUAUUAUAAAGAUCUCUUUAUGAGAUAAGAUAGUCUGACAACAAUAAGCAGCUCAGAAAUGCCCAGUGGAAACAGAAGUAUUCUUUGAGUUUCAUGUCCUCAGCUUUCUCUUACCAUUGUCAUGUGGGUGCACUCAGUACGUCUUUCUCCUCUCAACAAAAUGCAGGAAUGGAGACACGCAAGAACGUUCUCCCAAUUGAAAUGGCUGCAGUGAUGUAGAACACCGAGAGAGCAAAAACCAGCCAGAACUGCAGCCAUAGACUGACCCCACCUCCACAGCUGCUAUUCCUGCAGAUAUCAGUGCUAAUAGCAGGGUUUGAUACUCUCUAUAUCUAUCCAUAUCCUUCCCUACAUAAGAAUACUGUACUGAAAUACCAAAAAUCUUCCCCCCCCUUUUACCUUUUCAGGACUCUCAGAACUUUCUCCUGACAGUUCCAAUAUUUUUCCAGUUUUUUCUUCCUCUAUUUGCUCAAAGCAUUUUGGAUCCUGACUAAGAGCAUUGGCCAUGAUGUGGUACGUAGUACCCAGCAGAAGAUUCUGGUUUCGGAAGGCCAUUAUGUUCUUGUUAAGGUAGUCUGACUUGGUAUCUUCUGUUGGAAUUCAAAAACAAAGUCAGCAAUUUGACAACAAAGCAGCUUUAUACAAUAAAUAAAGCAAAGCAAAGAGUAUUACCAAGCAGGGAGAUGGUUUUUAACACAGAGAGCACUCGUUCAGGACAACUCUGGCUCUGGCUGCAGCUGUGCACGAAGCGGCAGUAGGCAUAGUUCCACCUCACCAGCCAGUCCUCCCUCGUCUUGGCCUCUCUGCGCAGGCCCUUCAGAAGCUUCUUGGCAAUGGAGAAGCUGUUCUGUAUUCAGAUUAAGACAGAAAUUUCAGAUAGCAUGUCUGAAACGAAAAUUUUCCUGCCAUCAUAUUUAGAGAUGGGAGGAUUUCAUUAAAAUAAGCAAAGCUACAGUAAGAUGUGGUUGAUGCCCCAUCCCUGGAGACUUUCAAGGUAAGGCUGGAUAAGUCCCUGGGCAACUUGAUCUAGCUGUGGAGCUCCUGUUCAUUGCAAGACAGUUGGAUUAGAUGGCCCUCAGAGGUCCACUCCAACUCUAAAUUGAUGCCAUAAAGAGAGGGCAGCUGCUUGAUUGGUCUCAUAUUGAAAAAAAACAGAUUUGUGCUAAUGGAGAAAUUUGGAAAGGAAAAAAGCACAGAGGUCUGAAAAACUGAGGAGAUUAAAAUAACUUUACCUGCGUAAUUAAAUAGAUAUUAACUGUUCUGCAGCCCAAACACACACGGACAGUGUAACUCGAUUUAUAAUACUAUUAAGCACAUUGUUCAUGUAUGAUGCCUGUGACUGGAUGAAACGUUUCUAUAGUAGCACUAAAUGAUACUUCGUUGGCUUUUUUUUAUUUAUUCCUUCAGGAGUGAACAGCCUGCAGAGCACUGAUGUUAUAUUUGGCCAUUUACAGUGCUUAAAAUCAACUCUGACACUGACUGUAGAUUGCUGCAGGAUCUCCGAGGACCAGGGAGACUUGGACUUCAAUAUUACUGGUCUUGUCUCAAGCUUGAAACACUAAAGUAAUGGUAAAAGUCAGAUCCAAAACAAAAUUUCUAAGUCAGUCAGUUUUAGCUUUUUAUAUAAAUGCUAACCCCAAAAUCUAAUCACAAUAUUAAUGAAAACCACGAUGAAAAUAAAUCCCCAAGUGUUUUACCAUUCUUGACUGAAGCGAAUGAUACUGAUUCAAUCUGAAUUUGCUUUGUGUUCUUGUACAGAAGGGAUUGUUUGUAAACAAGAGAGCAUAUUGUUUGGCAACAAGCAUCCUAUCCAUUAAUGACUGAAGAUACUUUAUCUGCGCUUCAGCGUCAGAAACCAUCUGUGGAUCAAAGGGGCCUUCAGGCACAUUUCCAGUAAUGACAAAUUAUCAUCAAGUUUUUAAUUAACAUUUAUCUGUUGUUUUCUCUCCCUAAAGAGCUGAAUUUCUUGAGCUUUCAAAAUGACCUCGGACAGCAGGAUCAAGCAGACACAAGCUCUGCCCUUGCAAAAACACACACAAGUAGACUUAGGAGGUUUUCAGCUCAUAUUUUCUCACAAAAAUGGAAGCUUAGCAGACAGUACAGUUACCUGUUUCCUGGCACUUUCUAUCAUCUUCAGUUUCAUGUUAAAUUUGCAGCUUCUAAUCAUUGAGUGAAUGUCUUCAUCCUGUUGAUCUACUUCCAUUUGGUCUCCAACACUACUUUCUUCAUCCACCUCCAUACUAUCAUUGGCCUUAUCACAGAGAAAUUUCUCUUGCAGCUUGUCAAGAAAGAAGCACCUGCACAAUGACAAGAGUACAAACCACUCUGGCACCCUGGCAAGGGAAUAUAUACCCAAAAGAGUUGAACUUUGACAGUAAGAAAAAAAAAAAGCUAAGAAGGAAUGGCAAAUUAUAGUGAUCACAUUUAGGAAAGGAUAAAUGUACUCAGCAAAGAGUCUCAAAGUAACAACCAGGGACAGGUUGACCCUGAGAGCAUUCCAGGAUCUUUAAUCAAUGAGAUUAAGUAUUAGAAAACAGUCAUAAUACAGUGGGAUCUUUUGUUGGUUUGUUCUUUUACACAUAACUACAACCACUUCCAAGCUCACCUCGCCAUAACUUCAGUUCCAACUUGACAGAAGUGUGCCAGGCUGUGUUUUAUGCAAAGCUACAAUUUGGUAUAUACAGUGCUGAGGCAAUUAAAGAAGGCACUUUAAAAUCUGCAUUGCAGGAAAAAAAAAAAGUAGUGAUUGUACCCAGCUUCUUAAAAUAGAACUGCCAUGAACCUGUGCUAAUUCCUUUUUAUUCUACAAUUAAUCCAAUCUAAUUCAAUUCCCACCAUGUAGACUGUUAUUCAAUGCAGGAGGAAAAAAAAAAAAUAAAAUCACAGAAUCACAAGGGUUGGAAAAGACCUCCAAGAUAAUCCAGUCCAACCACCCACCUACCACCAUCGUUUCCCCUUUUGCUCAUGUCUCGUAGUACCACAUCUCCACGCUUCUUGAUCACCUCCAGGGACAGUGACUCCCCCACCUCCCUGGGCAGCCUGUGCCACUGCCUGACCACUCUUCCAGAGUGGAAAUGUUUCUUAAUAUCCAACCUGAACCCCCUCCGGAGCAAUUUGAGGCCAUCCUCCCUCAUCCAGUCACUACUGGAGUCAGAAGCAAGCCUUAGCAUUGAAUAAAGGCACAUCUUUUCUAACUAAUUUGUGACAAAGUUUUUCCUAACAGCACAUAGAACUGUUUAAGACACUGACAACCACACAGAUCUUAGAAGUUCUGAGACUUUGUAAAGCAGUACACUACACCAUGUAUUUUUCUUAAUAUUUAACUAAGAUAAGCUCUUUCUAUAUCCAUGCUUUCCUGACACCCAGAGACAGUAAAGUAAGUUACGGUGCCCAGAGCAUAUCAGAAGAGCUGUUAAAUAAACUGUCCCCACAAGAAGUGAAAAAACUAAAUCCGCACAAGAAGACUGGACUGGGAUGGAGACGAAUACCAAGGAGAGAACAGAAAGUGUUCAAAUUUGAGAAGACAUUCCAGUUCCUUCGGAGCUAAUCCAAAACAGCCUCUAGAGAAACUUUGUUCUUUCUAGCAUCAGUUGUGCAGCAGAUUACUGCUCUGAUCACUGCAGUGGUCAUUAACUCUCCUAUAAACAUCAGAAGUAUGCAGUGUGACAGGGCUCAGCUUCUCUCGCACACUCCCUAACUUUGACACUGAUCAUGAAGUACGUAAGCAUUUUUAUCCAUAACGGAUGGGCCCUUUGGGUGGUGGUUUAUUGAGCUAAACACAGCUAACCUACUCAACUACAUGUGGGUGUGUUCGAGGGCUGCUGAAGUGGGACAGCUUGACUUCUCAUCAGCAUUUUUGUACAGUGUAUGUAGUUGCUGAUGCAAAAAAAAUGCCUAAAGUAACACUUGUUUCCCUAUCAAAACAUUGCUUAUUCCCCAUCUGCUUCUGAAACUCCCUUUGCUUUUCACCACAAGUGAGUCCCACAAAAAGCAAACCGUUAUAAAGCUGUUAAGAUCACUUAAAAGAAAAGGAAUACACUACAUCUGUGACACCCUCCAUGUAAACAAACGGUGUUAGGAAAAGCACCUCUCAGAAGUCAGCAGGCACACAGAAUUCAAGCUCACUGAAAAUCUCAUCUUACCGAUUUGUAAUGAUAUCAUCCCAGAUGUUCAUGGGAUCCAUUUUAGCAUCUGGAUAUCUGCUCGUCCAAGUUCUGAGAAGUCUCUUCAGGGAUUUAGCCUGUGAAGCUAUGUUACCUAGAAAUCAACAUGGUAUACUUUAAAAGCAUCUAGAUCCAAACAGCAUGAAAAAGGCCUAAACCCAAACACAAUGUAAUAUUCAAUCCCCCAAAGUGCAGUUGCAUUUCUGAAUUUGCAUUAGAUGUGUUAUUUCGUGCUGAUAUUUUUGGUUAUUGCUGAAGCACAGCAGAUUCAACACGGACAUCAGGGACAACUGUCACUGCAAAUCAUCAGCGGUAGCUACCUUCCAUAUGGAAGUAUGCUGGAAUACAGUGGAACUGUUAAGUAAAUUUAAUAUAUAACUAUAUUCAUAUUCAUGAAUUUAUGUUUCAUGCCAAUGACAGUAGCUAUAAAUGACAUACUUGAUCCAUCUUUUAUCCUUGCUAACCGCCUUGCUACAGAAGUGACCCCAACAAAAACCUUAGUUCAUUACUUCUUCAUUUAAAGAGAUACUGUUAUUACAACAGCUAGGCUACUAAAGCUUUGCAAAAGAACACUGAAUUACCUUGAAGCCUAUCUUACACAACUACAAUAGUUCUUACUAUCAAGACGACAGUAUGAAGUAAUUCCAACCCAUGCUCCCUCCAACAGGAGCUCAGUCCUCUGAAUGUGGAAACAAAUUACGAGUUCAGAAAAAUCAGAACUAUUCAACACAACGGGAACAGAAUAAAAAGUAAAUAUAUACUUGUUUUGGUCAUAAAAUUGAUGAAAUCCUGUAUUUCUGUCAGAGCCUGUACAGACUGCAGUUUGCUCAUUCGACUUUGGUAUAACAAAGUAUCUAUACUGGAAUAGCUCUGAAAAGCAAAGGAGAAAAAAGAUUUCACACACAGAAUUUACAACACGUUCUAUUUAACAGUCUGCAAACUAUUCACCUUAUGCUACUAUAGAAUAUGCUCGACAAUCAAAUCUUUUGUGAGCUAUUUAAUAGACUUGUAACCUGACAACAAGUCUGCUUUAAACAAGUAUAGAAGCAUAUUCUAGCGGCACUCUCUGUCCCUGAGUUAGGACAGUCCUACAGUCUAAUCAAACCUUGGUAACAGACAGGAGUUGUAACCUCCCAGUUUAGUACUCUAGCUUUCAGUUUGUCCUGGGAACAUCAGCUUCUGAAAAGAUGAAUUAAGUUAAAUUGCCAUUUCUCUGCACAAUUACUUUGAAGAACUUCUAAAUAGAUGAACUCAGCAGAAAAAAGCAAAUGAGAACAGGGGAGAGAAUGCAUUCCACUGUCUGGCUCAAUCCUCAACGUUGCAAGCAGCAUACUCAAUGGAAAUUUUGUCUUAUGAUUGAAAAGCACCUAGAUUUCACUGCCUUUGGGCAUUUUUCCCUCAAGAGUAUAAUCUAGCAGCAGUAACAGCAACAAGUUUUACUUGUUUACUUAAGUUUAUACAGAAAAAUCACAUCAAGAGUAGCAAUGAUUCUUACCUGCAUGAAGAUCUGUAUGCCGUUGCCAAUGUAGUAUUUAGCUCUGUCAAAAUCAUCUUGCAGGAUGUAAAGGAGACUAAGCUCUUGGCUGUAAUGCAUCUCUAUCAGAGCUUUCUUCUGUUCUGUCUUCAUUGCCUCAUCAAUGAAAGUGAGCAAAGUCUGGUCAUUUUCCCCAUUGAGCAGUAGCUUCAACUUACUGCGUAUUAUAUAGGGCAGAUACGUCUCCUG